UUGAUUAGCACCAGAACCUUCUUUGCUAGCAUAAAAAAAAGCCGCAUAGAAGCAAAUAACUUUAUACUGCUGACUUAUACCUACAACAACAGAACAGAAAGGAGUUUUAAAGGACUAUAAUGAGUAUUCAAGAGUUUUACCGAGAUAUCGAUGGUCUGACUGUAUAUUUAAGAGAAAAAUACCCCAAUGACCACGAAAUACAGAAAUGGAUUAAUUCAUAUUGCAAACAAUAUUACAAACUUCUUAAACAAUACGUCUGGGAACCGAACGAAUUACAAAAACUUCAGGAAGACAACGAACAUUUAAAACAAGAUAUAAUAAAAUUACAACAUCAAUUGGCAUCGAAAAAAACAACAACACGCACUACAAGAAAAACCAGAUACAAUGAAGUAAAA
rnacentral:lncRNA from 1 species